ACCAAGGAUAAUUCUGUGGCCAUAUGAUAUCUACCAUAACCUAAAAGCAUGGCCUCCCAUGUACGAAGGUUUCCUUGAGCACUUCCCAAAGAUUCUAAUUUCUAAAACAGUUUUUGACUAUACCUUUAUGUAAGGUGUCAUUGUGACGUGCUACAGUUGGUAUAUAUUUGUAUCCAAACUCACAGCAUAUGUGUUGUUGUAUUUUGCAC
rnacentral:lncRNA from 1 species